rnacentral:rRNA from 1 species
UACGUAGGGGGCGAGCGUUGUCCGGAUUUAUUGGGCGUAAAGAGCUUGUAGGCGGUUUGUCGCGUCUGCCGUGAAAAUCCGAGGCUCAACCUCGGACUUGCGGUGGGUACGGGCAGACUAGAGUGUGGUAGGGGAGACUGGAAUUCCUGGUGUAGCGGUGAAAUGCGCAGAUAUCAGGAGGAACACCGGUGGCGAAGGCGGAUCUCUGGGCCUUACCUGACGCUGAGGCGCGAAAGCUAGGGGAGCGAACAGG